UUCUAAUCAACUUCAUAUGUUUGGAAUGUAUUUGAAAGGAAUAGAAUUCAUUCUGUUGCUUGAUUCUCUAUUUAGUUUUUGAUAUUACCCUUCGCCCAUAUGAUCAAGAUUGUGCCCUCCUCCAUCCAAUAAGGUGAGAGGAUACCCCUCUUGCCCUAUGUGAAUUGAAUUGUACAAGCUAAACGGAAUUUGAUCACAAGAAUUUUGUCAGAUAGAAUUCAAUUGCAUUGAAUUUCUCAUUUUGAGAGGUCUCUGAUAGGUUGUACACAUUCUUGGAAUAUUUUUACUGGUUCUCAUUUGGACUUGCACUUGAUCCCACACUUGGCUGAGAUAAGUCAGCUGUUGCCACUGGAA
rnacentral:misc_RNA from 1 species